ensembl:lncRNA
GUAUCUCACAGAUUUUGGCUUAUUUCAGCAUGCUUGCGUUAAACUGAAGUUGGAGUUGGGGAUAUACUGUAUAGUUGGGGACACACAGCAAGGGAACCUUCAAAGCAAAAGAGCCCAUCUAGGGGAAUCAAGUAAAUGAUUCAGUGACAAACUAGUUGGAAGAAACAUUUACGCGGCAGCAUUGCAAAAAAGCAACAAGAUGAACUCAAAUGGAGGAAAUCACAGCAGGAUGGGGCAAAGCGUGCAAAACUCUAGUGCCGUCGAGCACUGAAUGUCUUUGAUAUGUCCUUUAUUUGACUAUUUUCUAAUUUAUGCCAACACUGACCUUAUCAGUAACAGCUUGUAAUAAUAAGCAUAAUUAAAAAGAGCAGGGAUAACAGACUUUAAAAACCAUUAGAAAUGCACUUGAUGGUACUAAUAGUGUAAAUAUGGCAAUUAUUGAUAGUUUCACAGCGGUGGGAACCUAGGAAGAUGACAGUAUUAACCACUGAGAUGCACUUUUUGGACCGGUAGCAUUUGUUUUCCAUGAGGUGCUGCUUAUUGUGACAGAUCUGGAGAAGAUGGAAUGGAUUACAAGUACAGGACCGUUGCGAAAGAUGUGAAAGAAAAAAUAUGAACUGACUCUGAAUGCGAGAGGGAAGACUAUGUGCACAGUAUCUGUUUAACCUUGAGCAAUGGACCCCUAAAUGUGUCUGGAUUCGUUUGACUUAAGAUCUGUUAUGUCUCAGAUCUGUGUGCCUCUUGUAGUAUGAUAAGUCCACAUGCACAAGAACUGACAUGAUUCCUUGUCGGAAUCCUUCAUCAGAAUUCCGGAGUCAUUGGCUGCUAGGUAUCCAUGGCAACCACAGAGCAGAGUAAUACUACAGGGACGUGCUUGCAGGGGAGGAGGCUGAGAAGUGUGAAUUCAUUAUGUUCAACAUCACAAACUUGUAAGUCUGUUUACAUUUUACCAAGUAAAUUCUUUUAAUAAACAGUAUUGAUGCUUCUGAUAGUGUCUCUUUGCUUUUUGGUAUUACAUGAAAUAAAUGCACGCGUCAAGCAUAUUAUUCA